UCCAUGAAAACUGAAAUCUCCAUUAUCAUCAUUACUGGUGUGUGUGUGAUUGCGCUGCUCGCCGUUGGAUUCCCUCUGACUGUGUGUAUAAUAGGACACAAGAGAACAGGAAAAAACUGUACAGCAGAGAAGAAAACAAGGGGGAAAACUACUUCAUCAGACAGCGGACAUGAUCAGACAGUCAGUCCUGAUGGAGCAUCUUCUGCUGGGCUUCUGUACGCAUCCGUCACUUUCCAGAAGCAUCAAGAGUCUCUCAGUGAAGCUGGAGUCACCUUCAGGACAAGUCAGGUUUACUCUGAUUAUACCACAGUCGUUUUACCACAGUAAACUCACCCAUCACAGAUCAUCACAGUACAGCAGUGGAUCAUAUAUUAGUUCAUAUUUGGCUGGGUUGGGUUUGAUUGUUGUUCAGUUCACUCUGUUGAAGUUUCACUGCUGCUCGUGUUGCUUCUUUCACACCAUUAAAAUAGUUCUUCAUCUCGCUUUAUCUGAGCUCAUGGUGAAGACAGGAAAUAAUACCCCAAAGAGAUAUUUCUAGAAUAAACUAUAAAGUUUCCACUUCAAACACAGCAGUAGCGUUUUACAGUAAACAAACCGCAGCUUCUCAACAGACACAAGUUUAGCCAUCCUUCAUGAUGAAAAUUGACAAUCAUCAUUUGUACUUUUUAAGAGCUUUUAAAAUUAUUAAUGUGUUUUCUGAAUAUCUGAAUAUUAAUUAUGACAUAAAUAUUUUUAAUACCCUUAUUUUUUUACCGACUUGCUUUAUGCAUUAACUUCCUCAUGUCUUUUUCAAAAUUGUUUUAGUUAAUUCUUGUUGUUUGCUCUUAGUUAGUGUUUCUGAUAUCAAUGCUUACAGCUUGCUUGUGCAAUUUUUGUCAUCAUUUCUUGAUAUUGUUGUUAGUUUAAUAAUAAGUGAGGUUACAUUUUCACAUGUUUAACACAUUAAUAUUAUGCUUUUCUACUGUGAAAUAUAAAUUAGAUGAUUUCACGUGAUUUUUUUGUAUAAUUUUUUUAGGAUAGGUCUAAAUAUUCUCAUACUCCUAUAGCUUAUCCAUGAGAAGGUCGUAUAGUAUUUUAUUUCUCCCUGUAUUCAUCAUUUGUAAGGAGUUUUAGCUUUGUCUGAAAGUUUCUCUGGAACAUUGUAAGUAUGUUUUGUGUUUGUAUGUGUCUCUGUGUUAUUUUUACAUCCAGCUCAAAGCCAAAGAAAGCAGGUGGAGGUUCAGACUCUCAGUUCUCAGUUCUGUGUUCAGUCAGUAAAACUCACAGUGAGACUGAAGAGCAGAAGGCAAAGACUGAACCUGUUUAUGUCUGGUCACUUCAUAUGUUUUAAUUAUGGUAAAUAUUUAAUUUCUUUGCCAAUUUAAUUAGGUUACUGUAACUAAAGCAUCAGAUACAUUACAUUUUAGUUAAAUUAUUAUUUACAGAAGCGUAAGCUAUUUAUCUAUUUUUGCAUUUAAAUAAUUUUAUAUGCAGGCUGUAAAACAUUAUGACAAGCACACAAGGAGGCUCCAUGAACACAUUUAUUAUAGGCUAAAUUAAACAUCUUUCCGUUGCUCAAGCUCUUGCAGCCCUCAACGCAUCUGUUCCCAUGUUUAUAUUUUUAAAUAAGGGGUAAAAUGUACAUAUGUGGUUUUAAUAACCAGAUGUGUUUAGAUCUGUACAGUUUCACCUACAAACCACCUUCUGAAUUGUUCUGAGUGACCAUAUUUGCAUAUAUGCAUUGCUAGAGGCCGUCGUCUUUAACCUCUUUGUUGGAGCAACUGACUCCCAUGUGGAAAGUCGCCAGUUCAAUCUGAGCUCAGAGCGGGUUGGGUGGUGUACGACCGGUGGGGUUACAUCAGUAACUAUGAGUACUGUUUUUCAGAAUUUGCCCAAAGGAAUGGCAUUGUUUAAUCUUGCAAUAUCUUUCUUUUAUUUGUUAUCACUCAAGGCUGUGCAAUUUUAGAAAAAGUAUAUAAAUAUAUAUACAUAUACUCGUUAGUAUAAACAUUAUUCUGUCUUUUCUUGUAAAUGCCCCAGUGUUUUAUGUUUGCAGUGUUAUUCUGAUUAAAAGAUAAACAAUUAAAAACAUUUUGUUCUUGUAUUUUGAUAUUUUA